AAUAGAUACCCAGGUAGUCCAUGCCGUAAACGAUGUCUACUAGCCGUUGGGGCCUUUGAGGCUUUAGUGGCGCAGCUAACGCGAUAAGUAGACCGCCUGGGGAGUACGGUCGCAAGACUAAAACUCAAAUGAAUUGACGGGGGCCCGCACAAGCGGUGGAGCAUGUGGUUUAAUUCGAUGCAACGCGAAGAACCUUACCUGGUCUUGACAUAGUAAGAACUUUCCAGAGAUGGAUUGGUGCCUUCGGGAACUUACAUACAGGUGCUGCAUGGCUGUCGUCAGCUCGUGUCGUGAGAUGUUGGGUUAAGUCCCGCAACGAGCGCAACCCUUUUCCUAUUUGCCAGCGGGUUAAGCCGGGAACUUUAAGGAUACUGCCAGUGACAAACUGGAGGAAGGCGGGGACGACGUCAAGUCAUCAUGGCCCUUAGACCAGGGCUACACACGUGCUACAAUGGUCGGUACAAAGGGUUGCUACCUAGCGAUAGGAUGCUAAUCUCAAAAAGCCGAUCGUAGUCCGGAUUGGAGUCUGCAACUCGACU
rnacentral:rRNA from 1 species